rnacentral:rRNA from 1 species
UACGAAGGGGGGCUAGCGUUGCUCGGAAUCACUGGGCGUAAAGCGCACGUAGGCGGAUUCUUAAGUCGGUGGUGAAAUCCUGGAGCUCAACUCCAGAACUGCCUUUGAUACUGGGGUAUCUUGAGUAUGGAAGAGGUAAGUGGAAUUCCGAGUGAGAGGUGAAAUUCGUAGAUAUUCGGAGGAACACCAGUGGCGAAGGCG